GCGGUCGUAGUCUAGCCUGGCAGGACACGGGCCUCCCGAGCCCGUAGCCCGGGUUCAAAUCCCGGCGGCCGCA
rfam:Ferroglobus placidus DSM 10642, complete genome.